rnacentral:lncRNA from 1 species
GUCUGUGAAAAAUAAGUAAUGAAUCAUCUUCUCGAGAUAUUUCAUAUUUAUUUGAAAGUAAAUAAUUAUUCUUUGAAAUUAUAUAUGAUUUAUGAAAUUAUGUUUUGGAUGAAAAGUGAUUCUGAAAUACUAUAGUUUAUUGAUUAUGCAUAUAUUAAAUGAAAAUGAUAAUAUGUUAUUAUACAAAAGUACUUUGAUA